AGAGUUUGAUCCUGGCUCAGGACGAACGCUGGCGGCGUGCUUAACACAUGCAAGUCGAACGGUAAGGCCCUUCGGGGUACAGGAGUGGCGAACGGGUGAGUAACACGUGGGUAAUCUGCCCUGCACAUCGGGAUAAGCCUGGGAAACUGGGUCUAAUACCGAAUAGGACCACAGGACACAUGUCCUGUGGUGGAAAGCUUUUGCGGUGUGGGAUGGGCCCGCGGCCUAUCAGCUUGUUGGUGGGGUGAUGGCCUACCAAGGCGACGACGGGUAGCCGGCCUGAGAGGGUGACCGGCCACACUGGGACUGAGAUACGGCCCAGACUCCUACGGGAGGCAGCAGUGGGGAAUAUUGCACAAUGGGCGCAAGCCUGAUGCAGCGACGCCGCGUGAGGGAUGACGGCCUUCGGGUUGUAAACCUCUUUCAGCACAGACGAAGCGCAAGUGACGGUAUGUGCAGAAGAAGGACCGGCCAACUACGUGCCAGCAGCCGCGGUAAUACGUAGGGUCCGAGCGUUGUCCGGAAUUACUGGGCGUAAAGAGCUCGUAGGUGGUUUGUCGCGUUGUUCGUGAAAACUCACAGCUUAACUGUGGGCGUGCGGGCGAUACGGGCAGACUUGAGUACUGCAGGGGAGACUGGAAUUCCUGGUGUAGCGGUGGAAUGCGCAGAUAUCAGGAGGAACACCGGUGGCGAAGGCGGGUCUCUGGGCAGUAACUGACGCUGAGGAGCGAAAGCGUGGGGAGCGAACAGGAUUAGAUACCCUGGUAGUCC
rnacentral:rRNA from 1 species